rnacentral:rRNA from 1 species
UACGGGGGAUGCAAGCGUUAUCCGGAUUUACUGGGUUUAAAGGGUGCGUAGGCUGUGAGGUAAGUCAGCGGUGAAAUGCCCCCGCUCAACGGGGUGAAGUGCCAUUGAUACUGCCUUGCUGGAAUGCGGAUGCCGUGGGAGGAAUGUGUGGUGUAGCGGUGAAAUGCAUAGAUAUCACACAGAACACCGAUUGCGAAGGCAUCUCACGAAUCCGCUAUUGACGCUGAUGCACGAAAGCGUGGGUAUCAAACAGG